GACGGGGGAUGCAAGCGGUAUCCGGAAUCACUGGGCGUAAAGCGUCUGUAGGUGGUGAUGCAAGUCACUGGUGCAAAACUCUGGCUCAACCGGAGGAAAGCCAGUGAAACUGCAUGACUAGAGUGUGGGAGAGGUAGAAGGAAUUCCCUGAGUAGCGGUGAAAUGCGUAGAUACAGGGAAGAACACCGGAGGCGAAAGCGUUCUACUGGAACACAACUGCCACUGAGAGACUAAAGCUAGGGGAGCGAAUGGG
rnacentral:rRNA from 1 species